GACGAACGCUGGCGGCGUGCUUAACACAUGCAAGUCGAACGGUAAGGCCCUUCGGGGUACACGAGUGGCGAACGGGUGAGUAACACGUGGGUGAUCUGCCCUGCACUUCGGGAUAAGCCUGGGAAACUGGGUCUAAUACCGGAUAGGACCACUGCCUGCAUGGGUGGUGGUGGAAAGCUUUUGCGGUGUGGGAUGGGCCCGCGGCCUAUCAGCUUGUUGGUGGGGUGAUGGCCUACCAAGGCGACGACGGGUAGCCGGCCUGAGAGGGUGACCAGCCACACUGGGACGUAGAUACGGCCCAGACUCCUACGGGAGGCAGCAGUGGGGAAUAUUGCACAAUGGGCGCAAGCCUGAUGCAGCGACGCCGCGUGAGGGAUGACGGCCUUCGGGUUGUAAACCUCUUUCAGCACCGACGAAGCGCAAGUGACGGUAGGUGCAGAAGAAGGACCGGCCAACUACGUGCCAGCCGCCGCCGUAAGAC
rnacentral:rRNA from 1 species